rnacentral:rRNA from 1 species
AACGAACCGAGCGAACGUUGUUCGGAAUAACUGGGCUUAAAGGGCGCGUAGGCGGGCCGCCAAGUUCGAGGUGAAAUCCUCCGGCUCAACCGGAGAACUGCCUCGAAUACUGGAGGCCUCGAGGCGGGUAGGGGCACGCGGAACUGUGGGUGGAGCGGUGAAAUGCGUUGAUAUCCACAGGAACUCCGGUGGCGAAGACGGCGUGCUGGACCCGAUCUGACGCUGAGGCGCGAAAGCCAGGGGAGCAAACGGG